rnacentral:rRNA from 1 species
GACGAACGCUGGCGGCGUGCCUAAUACAUGCAAGUCGAACGCAGUGGGGACGGGUGAGUAAAACGUGGGUAACCUCCCAUCAGAGGGGAAAAAAAUUGGAAACAGGUGCUAAACCGAUACUGAUGGAUGGACCCGCGGUGCAUUAGCUAGUUGGUGAGGUAACGGCUCACCAUGGCCACGUUGCAUAGACGACCUGCGAGGGCGAUCGGCCACCUUGGGACUGAGAAACGGCCCAGAUUCCUACGGGAGGCAGCAUUAGGGACUCUUCGGCACUGGACGAAAGUCUGACCGAGCAACGCCGCGUGAGUGAAGAAGGUUUUCGGAUCGUAAAACUCUGUUGUUAGAGAAGCGGUAUCUAACCAGAAAGCCACGGCUAACUACGUGCCAGCAGCCGCGGUAAUUC